AUGUUGGGGCCAUGUUUUCCACCAAAAAGAGUGAGAUUUGGUGGUCCAAACUUCGAGGAGGGUCUUCUAACAUGGUAUGAAGAAGCAGAGAAUGAUCUGAUUGAAGUGGGAUCGGAUUGCGACAAAAGUUUUGUAAUGGACAACGAGAAACACACACACAGACACAAACACACCACCGAUUCUGACAUCAGCAAUGAUGAAGCUCCUGAUGAAAUAGUUGUCCAAGCAUCUCCCACCAACGCUAUUUCCGUAUUUCCAGAAUCCUCUCCUAUCAAUUUCAUCUAUUCAUUACAGGGAGCAAAAAUGUGGCUAAACCUUCUGUCCAUACUUGUACUCCUUAAAGGAAUCCAAUCUCAAAUACAGUUGGUGGAGUUUGGAGGAGAUGUGAGAAGAGCUGGAGAGUCCCUCCGUCUUUCCUGCCAAGCCUCUGGAUUCACCUUCAGAGAUUAUGGGAUGCACUGGGUGAGACAGGGUCCAGGGAAAGGACUGGAAUGGGUUGCACUCAUCUCUUAUGAUCCCACUAAAAAGUUCUACUCAGACAACGUGAAGGGGCGCUUCACCAUCUCCAGGGACAAUGCCAAAAGCCAGCUGUAUCUGCAAAUGAACAGCCUCAAAACUGAAGACACAGGAGUCUAUUACUGUGCAAAACCCACAAGCUUCAUGAAGGACUAUUUUGGUCUUGAUAUCACAGAGUUUGCUGUUAGAAAAAUGAAAAAGGCCAAGUUCAUCAGUCUGUUUAAAAGCCAGGGCAACCCUAGGCUGCAUUAA